AUUGAGCGCUGGCGGCAGGCUUAACACAUGCAAGUCGAGCGGGGGAGGUUGCUUCGGUAACUGACCUAGCGGCGGACGGGUGAGUAAUGCUUAGGAAUCUGCCUAUUAGUGGGGGACAACAUUCCGAAAGGAAUGCUAAUACCGCAUACGUCCUACGGGGGAAAGCAGGGGAUCUUCGGACCUUGCGCUAAUAGAUGAGCCUAAGUCGGAUUAGCUAGUUGGUGGGGUAAAGGCCUACCAAGGCGACGAUCUGUAGCGGGUCUGAGAGGAUGAUCCGCCACACUGGGACUGAGACACGGCCCAGACUCCUACGGGAGGCAGCAGUGGAGAAUAUUGGACAAUGGGGGGAACCCUGAUCCAGCCAUGCCGCGUGUGUGAAGAAGGCCUUUUGGUUGUAAAGCACUUUAAGCGAGGAGGAGGCUCCUUUAGUUAAUACCUAAAGAGAGUGGACGUUACUCGCAGAAUAAGCACCGGCUAACUCUGUGCCAGCCGCCGCGGUAA
rnacentral:rRNA from 1 species